rnacentral:tRNA from 1 species
GGGGUGUUAGUCCAAAAAAGACAACUAAUUUCGACUUAGUUAAUUGUGGUUUAAAUCCAUAAUGCCCCU